UACGUAGGUGGCAAGCGUUAUCCGGAUUUAUUGGGCGUAAAGGGAACGCAGGCGGUCUUUUAAGUCUGAUGUGAAAGCCUUCGGCUUAACCGGAGUAGUGCAUUGGAAACUGGGAGACUUGAGUGCAGAAGAGGAGAGUGGACUCCAUGUGUAGCGGUGAAAUGCGUAGAUAUAUGGAAGAACACCAGUGGCGAAAGCGGCUCUCUGGUCUGUAACUGACGCUGAGGUUCGAAAGCGUGGGUAGCAAACAGG
rnacentral:rRNA from 1 species